rnacentral:rRNA from 1 species
GACGAACGCUGGCGGCGCGCUUAACACAUGCAAGUCGAACGGAAAGGCCUGCUUUCCCUUGUGGAUUGCGGGUACUCGAGUGGCGAACGGGUGAGUAACACGUGAGUGAUCUGCCCCCAACUUGGGUAUAAGCCUGGGAAACUGGGUCUAAUUCCCGAUAGGACUGCAGGGUGGUGCCUGUGGUGGAAAACGAUUUUCUAGUGGUUGGGGAUGAGCUCGCGGCCUAUCAGCUUGUUGGUGGGGUAAUGGCCUACCAAGGCGGCGACGGGUAGCCGGCCUGAGAGGGUGGACGGGCACAUUGGGACUGAGAUACGGCCCAGACUCCUGCGGGAGGCAGCAGUGGGGAAUAUUGCACAAUGGGCGGAAGCCUGAUGCAGCGACGCCGCGUGGGGGAUGACGGCCUUCGGGUUGUAAACUCCUUUGGACCGCGAGGAAGCCACCUGGUUGGAAGGGUGGUGACGGUAGUGGUAGAAGAAGCACCGGCUAACUACGUG